rnacentral:rRNA from 1 species
UACGUAGGUGGCAAGCGUUAUCCGGAUUUACUGGGUGUAAAGGGCGUGUAGGCGGGAAAGCAAGUCAGAUGUGAAAACCAUGGGCUCAACCUGUGGCCUGCAUUCGAAACUGUUUUUCUUGAGUACUGGAGAGGCAGACGGAAUUCCUAGUGUAGCGGUGAAAUGCGUAGAUAUUAGGAGGAACACCAGUGGCGAAGGCGGCUUACUGGACUGUAACUGACGUUGAGGCUCGAAAGCGUGGGGAGCAAACAGG